rnacentral:rRNA from 1 species
AUUGAACGCUGGCGGCAGGCUUAACACGUGCAAGUCGAGCGGGGUGAGGUGCUUCGGUACUGAUCCUAGCGGCGGACGGGUGAGUAAUGCUUAGGAAUCUGCCAUUUAGUGGGGGACAACAUUCCGAAAGGGAUGCUAAUACCGCAUACGUCCUACGGGAGAAAGCAGGGGAUCUUCGGACCUUGCGCUAAAUGAUGAGCCUAAGUCGGAUUAGCUAGUUGGUGGGGUAAAGGCCUACCAAGGCGACGAUCUGUAGCGGGUCUGAGAGGAUGAUCCGCCACACUGGGACUGAGACACGGCCCAGACUCCUACGGGAGGCAGCAGUGGGGAAUAUUGGACAAUGGGGGGAACCCUGAUCCAGCCAUGCCGCGUGUGUGAAGAAGGCCUUAUGGUUGUAAAGCACUUUAAGCGAGGAGGAGGCUACUUUAGUUAAUACCUAGAGAUAGUGGACGUUACUCGCAGAAUAAGCACUGGCUAACUCUGUGCCAGCCGCCGCCGUAACAC